UACGAAGGGGGCUAGCGUUGCUCGGAAUCACUGGGCGUAAAGCGCACGUAGGCGGACUCUUAAGUCAGGGGUGAAAUUCUGGAGCUCAACUCCAGAACUGCCUUUGAUACUGAGAGCCUUGAGUCCGGAAGAGGUAAGUGGAACUGCGAGUGUAGAGGUGAAAUUCGUAGAUAUUCGCAAGAACACCAGUGGCGAAGGCGGCUUACUGGUCCGGUACUGACGCUGAGGUGCGAAAGCGUGGGGAGCAAACAGG
rnacentral:rRNA from 1 species